rnacentral:rRNA from 1 species
UACGUAGGGGGCAAGCGUUGUCCGGAAUUAUUGGGCGUAAAGAGCGUGUAGGCGGUCCGGCAAGUCAGCUGUGAAAGUCAAGGGCUCAACCCUUGAAUGCCGGUUGAUACUGUCGGGCUAGAGUCCGGAAGAGGCGAGUGGAAUUCCCGGUGUAGCGGUGAAAUGCGCAGAUAUCGGGAGGAACACCAAUGGCGAAGGCAGCUCGCUGGGACGGUACUGACGUUGAGACGCGAAAGCGUGGGGAGCAAACAGG